rnacentral:rRNA from 1 species
AUGAAGGAUCCCCCUGAAGCCAAGGCGGCUCGCGACGUGGCGCUGGCUAAGGCAGCAUGUGCCGUGAAGCGUUGCGGCGAGGUGGAGGCCAAUCUGAAGGCCCUUUGGGAGGAGCAAGCCGCGCACGCACAACAACUCCAACAGCAGGAGGAGGACCUCAAGGCCUGCGAGGCGAAGCUUGCCGAUCGCGAUUCCGUGCUGUCCAAGGUCACUGUUGAUCAAGCCGCGAAAACGCGAGCAUCUGACCAAGCUGAAGGAAGAAGUGGUUCAGGCCCAGACAUCCCAUGCCAAGCACAUCUCCGAGGCGACUGCCUGGCUGGACGCCAGGGAGAAGACCCUUGCCGCCGCUGA